AAAGAGAGGUUAUGGAGGAACGUAGCUUUUAGGGGGAAAAAAAAUGUUAACACAUCACAGGUCAAGUUGAAGUCACUGUCUGUUUAGGCACUAAAAAUCGGUGUUGUCACUCACUGUGUAUUACAGUAUUUACUUGCUUUCUUGAUUUCACCAAACCAGAUUUAAUUUAAAGGAUCACAUUUAAUUUUUCAAGGGGAAAGAGACAAUUCAUUGUACAUAAUGUAUCCAAUUUUUUUUAAUUUCCCCACAAAUAACAAGACCCACAGAAGUGACUCUAGCUAUUUAACGGUUCUGUUCUUUUAUAUGCAGCAAACACACCAUACAUUUCCUAAGAGGCUUCAGCCUGAAGGUGUUUUCCAAUGAACGUUAGUGCACAAAUGCUUUAAAUUAGACUGGAACUGCCAGAAUCAAAUGUAAAUGAGGAGUUUCUCAUACCCCUAUUGCAUGGUAUAAAUUUUUAAUAAAUUGUUGCAAAUUUGUUUUUAUGAAUAAAAGG
rnacentral:lncRNA from 1 species